rnacentral:rRNA from 1 species
AUUGAACGCUGGCGGCAGGCCUAACACAUGCAAGUCGAGCGAGCGGCGGACGGGUGAGUAAUGUCUGGGAAACUGCCUGAUGGAGGGGGAUAACUACUGGAAACGGUAGCUAAUACCGCAUACCAUCAGAUGUGCCCAGAUGGGAUUAGCUGGUAGGUGGGGUAACGGCUAACCUAGGCGACGAUCCCUCGCUGGUCGGAGAGGAUGACCAGCCACACUGGACCGGGGACCGGGUCCAGCCUCCGACGGGAGGCAGAAGUGGGGAAUAUUGCACAAUGGGCGCAAGCCUGAUGCAGCCAUGCCGCGUGUGGGAAGAAGGCCUUCGGGUUGUAAAGCACUUUCAGCGGGGAGGCGUUACCCGCAGAAGAAGCACCGGCUAACUCCGUGCCAGCAGCCGCGGUAAUAC